CAGCUUGGGAACGUUGCCUGUGUGUUUCUCAUGAAGUUCUAUUUACCACGGGGUUUGUUUUAGAGAAUGGAUUUUAUUCAGAAGGUGGCUCAUCUGUUUGUUUCCCAGGAGUGUCCUCCUCAACAGCAGAAUGAAUAAGACACCUGAAAAUUGUUUAAGUGGAGAAAGACUGCGGAAAGCUACAGAAGGAAAAGACAGCUCACAAUAAGGCAGAAACGGGUGAAGAUAUGCCUGACAUUCAGCCUCUACAAGAAUGAAGCCUGAAAGAAAGAAAGAUCAACUAGGAGAAAGUCUGAAGCUCUUCCGUUUCUCAAAGCCAGCUUCCUGGAUGAAGGCAGCAAACCACAUGGUGCCCACGACCCAUCCAACCACCCAGGAAGAAGGCCAGGCCAGCCGGAGGCAGCCUAAGCAAGCCCCAGGCUUAGGGCCUGCUGGAAAAUUGGAGGGACCUGAGAGACCUGCCCCAUGAAGCAGAACCAAAAUGAAAUGCUCCCAGCCCCAUAAGACACCUGCCUGACAUGAGGUCCAUCCCACCCUGGCAAUGUUUUUCUACAACCUCUACCACUGGGGAGAAGGUACUGAUGCCUGAACACAUGCACCAAUUGGUUUUAGUAACCGUUUCUACCCUACUGUUGUUAGAAUGCUGAGUGGACUCACAAACUCUUAACAUUAGCCUGUACCUGUGUUUUUGUUUUUGCCUCUGUUCACCUUUUAUUUACUAUCUAUGCUACUUAACUCUGUUAUCUGCCUGUAUUGAUCGCAAGACAAAGCUUUCCACUGUGCCUCAGUA